rnacentral:rRNA from 1 species
GCUUACGGCCACACCGCCUGGUUCACGCACGAUCUCGUUUGAUCUCGGAAGAUAAGAUAGGGUGGGCCUGGUUAGUACUUGGAUGGGAGACCGCCUGGGAAUACCAGGUGCUGUAUGCU